rnacentral:misc_RNA from 1 species
GUUUGAUCUCUUUGCCGCAAAGUGUUAAAUUCCUAACAACAUUAAAGAUUCUCAAUAUUGCCAAUUGUGAAAACCUUGAUUUGGCAAUAGAGGAAGUGGAAGAUAAUCAACACCUAAGUCCAUUCAGUCUCCAAAAGUUAGAGAUCAUUAACAUACCAAAGUUAUUGGGAUUCCCAACAUGGCUGAUUCGAGGAUCAAUCAACAGUUUAAAAGUCUUGAAAAUUACAGAUUGUGACAACCUUAGAGAAUUACCGGAACCUCUACAAAACAUUGCAACACUCGAAGAACUUUUGAUCUAUGGUUGUCCUAUGUUAAACAAUGAACGCCUACAGAAUAUAUCAGGUCCAAUUCAAGUAUGUCCAUGAGUUGAAUUUACAUGUGGGCUUUUUCAAGUCUCAUU